UACGGAGGGGGCUAGCGUUGUUCGGAAUUACUGGGCGUAAAGCGCGCGUAGGCGGUUCCAGCAGUCGGGCGUGAAAGCCCCGGGCUCAACCCGGGAAUAGCGCACGAUACUUUGGAGCUAGAGUCCGGGAGAGGAGAGUGGAAUUCCCAGUGUAGAGGUGAAAUUCGUAGAUAUUGGGAAGAACACCGGUGGCGAAGGCGGCUCUCUGGACCGGUACUGACGCUCUGGCGCGAAAGCGUGGGGAGCAAACAGG
rnacentral:rRNA from 1 species